rnacentral:rRNA from 1 species
AUUGAACGCUGGCGGCAGGCCUAACACAUGCAAGUCGAACGAGUGGCGGACGGGUGAGUAAUGUCUGGGAAACUGCCCGAUUGAGGGGGAUAACUACUGGAAACGGUAGCUAAUACCGCCUACCAUCUGAUUUUCCCCGAUGGGUUUAGCUUGUGGGUGGGGGAACGGCUCACCUUGGCGACGAUCCCUGGCUGGGCUGAGAGGAUGACCAGCCACACUGGAACUGAGACACGGUCCAGACUCCUACGGGAGGCAGCAGGGGGGAAUAUUGCAAAAUGGGCGAAAGCCUGAUGCAGCCAGGCCGCGUGUAUGAAGAAGGCCUUCGGGUUGUAAAGUACUUUCAGCGGGGAGGCGUUACCCGAAGAAGAAGCACCGGCUAACUCCGUGCCAGCAGCCGCGGUAAUAC